UACGAAGGGGGCUAGCGUUACUCGGAUUGACUGGGCGUAAAGGGCGCGUAGGCGGUUUGUACAGUCAGACGUGAAAUUCCUGGGCUCAACCUGGGGGCUGCGUUUGAUACGUGCAGACUUGAGUUCGGAAGAGGGUCGUGGAAUUCCCAGUGUAGAGGUGAAAUUCGUAGAUAUUGGGAAGAACACCGGUGGCGAAGGCGGCGACCUGGUCCGAUACUGACGCUGAGGAGCGAAAGCGUGGGGAGCAAACAGG
rnacentral:rRNA from 1 species